rnacentral:rRNA from 1 species
CCUACGGGAGGCAGCAGUGAGGAAUAUUGGUCAAUGGGCGCGAGCCUGAACCAGCCAAGUAGCGUGAAGGAUGACUGCCCUACGGGUUGUAAACUUCUUUUAUAAAGGAAUAAAGUGAGGCACGUGUGCCUUUUUGUAUGUACUUCAUGAAUAAGGAUCGGCUAACUCCGUGCCAGCAGCCGCGGUAAUACGGAGGAUCCGAGCGUUAUCCGGAUUUAUUGGGUUUAAAGGGAGCGCAGGUGGGUUGUUAAGUCAGUUGUGAAAGUUUGCGGCUCAACCGUAGAACUGCAAUUGAUACUGGGAGGCUUGAGUACGGUUGAGGUAGGCGGAAUUCGUGGUGUAGCGGUGAAAUGCUUAGAUAUCACGAAGAACUCCGAUUGCGAAGGCAGCUUACUGAACUGUCACUGACGUUGAGGCUCGAAGGUGUGGGUAUCGAACAGGAUUAGAUACCCCUGUAGUC